AAAGAUGAGGGUUCAAGAUAGAUUUUCUUGAAUGGAAGUCACCUUAUCUUGCUUUAUUUUGUUGAAGAUUUGAGGACCUUUUUUGUUUUUCUUUAUCCCUAAUUUUGCCUGGACCGCUUCUUUGAAGCUUUCGUUCCAUCGGGAUGCCCUGAUUUUUGCCUAAGUCAUUUUUUUGCGGUGUUUGACUUAGCGGGCUUUUUCUUCUUUCUUUUUUUUGAAAAAU
rnacentral:lncRNA from 1 species